rnacentral:rRNA from 1 species
UACAGAGGUCUCAAGCGUUGUUCGGAUUCAUUGGGCGUAAAGGGUGCGUAGGCGGCGCGGUAAGUCGGGUGUGAAAUCUUGGAGCUUAACUCCGAAACUGCAUUCGAUACUGCCGUGCUUGAGGACUGGAGAGGAGACUGGAAUUUACGGUGUAGCGGUGAAAUGCGUAGAUAUCGUAAGGAAGACCAGUGGCGAAGGCGGGUCUCUGGACAGUUCCUGACGCUGAGGAACGAAGGUCAGGGGAGCAAACGGG